UGCACGACCUGCGCAUGUGAAUUUGUUGAUGGCUUACUAUGGUGAGGCUGCUUCUCUCCAGAGGAGCCAACAUUAAUGCCUUUGACAAGAAGGAUCGCCGAGCAAUCCACUGGGCUGCUUACAUGGGGCACAUUGAGGUGGUGAAACUGCUGGCCUCUCAUGGAUCAGAGUUGUCCUGUAAAAACAAGAAGGCCUACACCCCUCUCCACUCUGCAGCCUCCAGUGGAAUGAUCAGUGUGGUCAAGUACCUCCUGGACCUUGGUGUGGAUAUAAAUUAGCCCAAUGGGUACGGUAACACCUCCCUCCACGUGGCAUGCUACAACGGGCAGGAUGUGGUGGUGAAUGAGCUGAUCGAGUGCGGCGCCAACGUGAAGCAGGUGUACGAGAAGGGUUUCGCCCCACUCCACUUCACGGCCGCCUCGCGCCAUGGGGCGCUCUGCCUGGAGCUGCUGGUGGACAACGGGGCCCUCGUCAACAUCAAGAGUAAAGAUGGAAAGACCCCCCUCCACAUGACGGCCAUCCAUGGACGCUUCUCCAGAUCUCAAGCCAUCAUCCAGAAUGGUGCUGAGAUCGACUGUGAAGAAAAGAAUGGAAACACACCUCUGCACAUCUCUGCUCGCUACGGCCAUGAGUUACUCAUCAAUACACUCAUCACGAACGGAGCUGACACAGCCAAGCGAGGCGUCCAUGGGAUGUUCCCCCCUCCACCUGUCUGCUCUCAGUGGGUUCUCUGAC